ACGCUGGCGGCAGGCCUAACACAUGCAAGUCGAGCGGUAGCAUAGGAGAGCUUGCUCUCUGGGUGACGAGCGGCGGACGGGUGAGUAAUGUCUGGGAAACUGCCUGAUGGAGGGGAUAACUACUGGAAACGGUAGCUAAUACCGCAUGACCUCGCAAGAGCAAAGUGGGGGACCUUCGGGCCUCACGCCAUCGGAUGUGCCCAGAUGGGAUUAGCUAGUAGGUGGGGUAAUGGCUCACCUAGGCGACGAUCCCUAGCUGGUCUGAGAGGAUGACCAGCCACACUGGAACUGAGACACGGUCCAGACUCCUACGGGAGGCAGCAGUGGGGAAUAUUGCACAAUGGGCGCAAGCCUGAUGCAGCCAUGCCGCGUGUGUGAAGAAGGCCUUAGGGUUGUAAAGCACUUUCAGCGAGGAGGAAGGCGUUGCAGUUAAUAGCUGCAGCGAUUGACGUUACUCGCAGAAGAAGCACCGGCUAACUCCGUGCCAGCAGCCGCGGUAAUACGGAGGGUGCAAGCGUUAAUCGGAAUUACUGGGCGUAAAGCGCACGCAGGCGGUUUGUUAAGUCAGAUGUGAAAUCCCCGAGCUUAACUUGGGAACUGCAUUUGAAACUGCCAAGCUAGAGUCUUGUAGAGGGGGGUAGAAUUCCAGGUGUAGCGGUGAAAUGCGUAGAGAUCUGGAGGAAUACCGGUGGCGAAGGCGGCCCCCUGGACAAAGACUGACGCUCAGGUGCGAAAGCGUGGGGAGCAAAC
rnacentral:rRNA from 1 species